GAUGAACGCUGGCGGCGUGCCUAAUACAUGCAAGUCGAGCGAACAGACGAGGCUCUUGCUCCUCUGACGUUAGCGGCGGACGGGUGAGUAACACGUGGAUAACCUCCCUAUAAGACUGGGAUCACUUCGGGAAACCGGAGCUAAUACCGGAUAAUAUAUUGAACCGCAUGGUUCAAUAGUGAAAGACGGUUUUGCUGUCACUUAUAGAUGGAUCCGCGCCGCAUUAGCUAGUUGGUAAGUUAACGGCUUACCAAGGCAACGAUGCGUAGCCGACCUGAGAGGGUGAUCGGCCACACUGGAACUGAGACACGGUCCAGACUCCUACGGGAGGCAGCAGUAGGGAAUCUUCCGCAAUGGGCGAAAGCUUGACGGAGCAACGCCGCGUGAGUGAUGAAGGUCUUCGGAUCGUAAAACUCUGUUAUUAGGGAAGAACAAAUGUGUAAGUAACUAUGCACGUCUUGACGGUACCUAAUCAGAAAGCCACGGCUAACUACGUG
rnacentral:rRNA from 1 species